UAAGGAAUAUUGGUCAAUGGACGCAAGUCUGAACCAGCCAUGCCGCGUGAAGGAUUAAGGUCCUCUGGAUUGUAAACUUCUUUUAUUUGGGACGAAAAAGGGCCUUUCUAGGUCAACUGACGGUACCAGAUGAAUAAGCACCGGCUAACUCCGUGCCAGCAGCCGCGGUAAUACGGAGGGUGCAAGCGUUAUCCGGAUUCACUGGGUUUAAAGGGCGCGUAGGCGGGUGAUCAAGUCCAUGGUGAAAUCCUCCAGCUUAACUGGAGAAGUGCCUUUGAUACUGAUUGUCUAGAGGGAGGUAGGGGCAUGUGGAACUUCAGGUGGAGCGGUGAAAUGCUUAGAUAUGACAUAGAACACCUAUUGCGAAGGCAGCUUACUACGCAUAUAUUGACGCUGAGGCACGAAAGCGUGGGGAUCAAACAGG
rnacentral:rRNA from 1 species